rnacentral:rRNA from 1 species
GACGGAAGGUGCAAGCGUUGCUCGGAAUCACUGGGCGUAAAGGGUGCGUAGGCGGCUUGGUGGGUCUGGUGUGAAAACUCGAGGCUUAACCUCGAGAUGUCAUCGGAAACCAUUUGGCUAGAGUCCGGAAGAGGAGAGUGGAAUUCCUGGUGUAGCGGUGAAAUGCGCAGAUAUCAGGAAGAACACCAAUGGCGAAAGCAGCUCUCUGGGACGGUACUGACGCUGAGACGCGAAAGCGUGGGGAGCGAACAGG